UAAUUAUCCGAACAAGAGGGAAACUUUUCUCUACGUAUUUAAUUAGAUCUUUGAUUUUCUCCACUCGAUUUCCUUUCGUCCUUUUGCUAUCAUUAGAUCGUUUGUUAUUAGAAAAUCAUUAGAUCAUUGAUUCAUUAAUUUCUCUACGUCUCAUUUCCUCCUUCCUCUUCCUCACCCCCACACACACACACACACAUACAAUUACCAUACUGCUACACGUUAUCUUCUAUGACAAUAUUUAUUUCGAGUUAACUCGAACGCUCUCGGAAGGGAUUACCAAUAAAAAAAAAAAAAAAAAAAAAAAAGAAAAAGAAAAAGAAAAAGAUGAAAAAAAACUAGAAAAAAAUGAAGAAGAAGAAAAGAAUAAUAACCCGAGUUAAAUCGAAAUACAUCGUUAUUGUCGUUCCUUCAAUCGAUCGUUUUAAUGAAAUACACGUCAUCGUUCCUGUUGUCACGAAUAAAUGCUAUGCUACGAGAGAAUGCAACAGGUUACUUGUGUACGUGCUAAUAGUGCGAUAAAGUUUUAUAUUAUUAAUUGGAAAAUUUAUUACUUAAUUUAUUAUUGAAAUUUUCAUCGAUAUCGUAUAAACAAAAAAUUGAUCGUAUUCGAUGACAAUUAAAACUGUUCGUUUCCAAUUAGAAAUAUCACGAUGAAUGAAUUCGAUAUUUUCACGUACCAAUUACAAAUGUAACAAUAUAUAUAUAUAUAUAUAUAUA